AUCUCGUAAUGAGGGCACUUUCUUAACAACUCUUUAAAUCUCUCCCAUGCAUCAUACAACUAUUCUCUCUCCAUCUGACAAAAAGUAUUAAUCUCCCCUCUCAAUCG